rnacentral:lncRNA from 1 species
UAUCUCUUGUAGGAUGUAUUAGUCAGCCUACAGGGAGGAGAACAGGAACCUCUCUAUGUAUUUGAACAGCGAAAAUAUGGAACCAAUUAGCCUGGUAUUGCAGGACUGAAAAUAUGAAAAGGUGACACCAAGGUCUCAUAUGGGCUCACGUGCUCUGCUUGAGCUCCUCUUUCCUGUGUCACCAUCUAAAAAGUAUCCUUGGUCAGAAAGCUUAAUACCUCCUCUGAAGACUGAUAAUAUACAUCAUCUUCCUGGACCAGUCUACAAGUGAGGGACAGUGAAUAUUUUGAAUGGCAGCUUUUAGAUAACAAAUCCUCAAAGAGAGAUAGAGUCUUACUCAUCUCUAACAUGUGCUUGACUGUGGAAGACUGCCAAUUAAUAAUGAUUGAGUGAUUUGCUAAAUAAAUAAAAUCUCUG